rnacentral:misc_RNA from 1 species
GAUGAAGAACGUAGCGAAAUGCGAUAAGUAAUGUGAAUUGCAGAAUUCAGUGAAUCAUCGAAUCUUUGAACGCACAUUGCGCCCGCCAGUAUUCUGGCGGGCAUGCCUGUUCGAGCGUCAUUUCAACCCUCAGGGCCCUUUUGGACCUGGCGUUGGGGCUCGGCCGCUACCCUGCGGCCGUCCCCGAAAGAUAGUGGCGGUCUCGCUGUAGCCUCCUCUGCGUAGUAGUUACAUCUCGCACUGGAACGCGGCGCGGCCAUGCCGUUAAACACCCCACUUCUCAAGGUUGACCUCGGAUCAGGUAGGAAUACCCGCUGAACUUAAGCAUAUCAAUAACGGAGGA